UUUCCCAGAACCACACCCAAACCCUCUUCAACCCCCUGUGUGUGGGCUGUGGCAGGGGUCAACCUCUUGUGUUCAGGUCCCCUAGGGGCCCACCCCACUCUACUAGGAACCAGGGGUCGGAUGCUGUCAGGGGAAGCCGUGUGGCUUGAGGAGUCGAGACCCUUUCCAAAUCCACCCCUGUGGAAUCUUGAGCAAAUCCCCACACCCAACUUAGCUUCAGUGUGGUGGAGGUGGGCCCAGCGCCUCUCUUGAGGGAGUGCUGCUGUAGGUACCUUCCAGCAGGCCAGGCUCCUGAGCUGGGAUCACCAUGAAGCUGGCAUCUCUCCUGGUAGCACCUAUUCUGGGGCCUUGAGCUCCGACACUCUUACGCUGGAGUUGAACUUAAGCUGCAGCGGGAGGGCUUUAAGCUAGACCCGCAGAAUUUGAGCUCUAAGGACUUGCUUAAGAUUGGGAGAGUAACUUCUUCUGCAAGGGGGCCAGCAGAGGGGCUCUCGGGUUGAAGGAGGGUUAUGCUGGCCCAAGCAUUGCCAUCAUAGCCACAGCUGGGCUGUGCCUCAGAGUCUGCAGGAGCAGGGCCCUUGGCCUUGGCUCCCAGGACAGUUGGGAGAUGGAGGGCAGCCCCAGUAGCUGCCAUCUUCCUGUCAUCUACCCACACGUCUCCAGAUCUGUUUGCCUGCAUCAGGGCCUGACUCCUGCCCCACAUGGGCCUGUGUACCAUUCAAGAAGAAAGCUUAGCUGUCUCCAACCCCGGCAUUCCCACAAGGGAAAGCUUGAGAUCUGCUGAGGGAGGGUCCUGGGAAGAGGCCUUCUUCUGUUCUCCUGUACAGCAGAGGUGUUGGCAUGUGCACGUGUGUGUCUGCAUGUGUGUGCAUCUGUGAACAUCUGUCUGUGGCUCUCGUUCUGAGCACCUGUGUGUCUCCGCUUCUGCCUUGUUCUGUCUUGGCACCUCUGGGUGUCUGUAUGUCUUUUUCUAAUCCUGGCUCUCUUCUUGUGCUUCUCUGGGCCUCGUCUUUUCAUCUUUGUGUUUUUUGCUUACUGUAUUGUAAUAUCCAUUUCCAUGCUGGAAUUCUCCUACCAGACCAUGGGCUCUGUGAGGGCAAAGACUGUCUUUUAUCUUCCCAUGUGUGCACAUAGUAGGAGCCUAGUACAUUUCUGUGGAGUAAAUGAAUGGAGAUCUGGCUCUGUUAAGAAUCCCUUAGUGUCUGUGUCUCUGGCUGCCUGACUUUCUGGGUCUCUGUGACCCUCAGAAGCUAGUUUUGUGGUUCUGUGUAGGGGUAUACCUGGUUUAUUCCCAUGCAUAUGUGUAUUUCUUGUGGUAGUUUUUCUCUCCUUGUCUAUGUCUGUUUCAGGUUUGUUGAUCUGCCUGAAUGUCUCUGCAUGUGGCCCCACAUCUCUCCUCAUGCCUGCUGGUCUCAGAGUAUAAUGGAUGCUGAGUCCAAAGCAGGUGUUUCCUGGGCAUUCGUGGCAGGGGAAUUGGACUUCCAAAUCUGCCCCCUCUCCACGUGGGUGAGCUUCUCCCAGACUCUCCAUCAUAAGAGGCUGUGAGCACCCGAAACUGAUCACCUUCUCAGCCUAGAAUGGGAGUGAGCUGUGGUCCUCUCCCUCUCUUCCUCUCACUGUGACCCCAAUCACAGCACCUGCCCUUCUCUAAUUGGCUGAUGUCAAUGGAAGGGGGAAGGGAAGGCUGAUGUCCAAGGAGGAAAUCCCAUUAGAGAACAAGCACCAAGCCCUGUGGAUUUCAGAAGAUGAGGAAACUGAGGCCUAGGAGAGUUAAAGGACCGCCCAAGACCACACCACCGCACAGAGACACCAGGACUGAACGCUUGUGUCUUCUGACUUGCAGCUUCCAGCAGCCUGGAUCAUGCUCUUCUUACCUCAUCUGGGUAGCAAGAGAAGGCUGCUCUAAAGCUACCUUACUCCCAGGUUGCAGGAGCAGAACCAAGACGUUCAGAUCCCUUGAGGAAGAGAAUGGCUCAGCAUGAGGGGGCCUCACCCAGAGCCCUGGGUCUGCUCUGAGCCCCUCACUUAAAGAGGGAAGCUGACCAAAUGAGCAGAACAGAGCAACAGAGCAAGUGGCACCAGAGAGACCACCCACGGAGGGCACUUCGUGAAGAGCGAGGAUUGGCUCUGACCAGUGCUUAUCAGCAGGCACACAGGUAGUUGAAAACAAAUCCCAGAUAUCAGGUGACUUCAUGUGGAAUGACUUCAGUAAGUACCUCUCACUAACUGGCCAUGCCAGGAUCACACCUGAGGAAAUUAACAGUAAUCCCAUGGUGAGCGUCAGCUGACACUCAGUCCCUCUUUAACUGCGCCCCGCCUCCUCCCGUAAAUAUGUAAACCCACACUGCAAGGGUGGAUGGAGGGCCAUGUGGCCGGGCGGCUUCUGUGCUUUAGCUUUGGAGCCUUAAGAGGGUGAGGGUUGAAUACCUGUGGCUUUGGGUGGGUGGUUUGCUUUAUGGGGCCUCUCUUUCUUCCUAUGCCAAAGGUACUGACCUCUCCCAAGGCGGUCAGGAGGACUGAAUGAAAUUGUAUGAGUACAGUACUGGGUACUUGGUAGGGACUCAAUGAAUGGUGGCAGUGCUUACGAUGUUUUCUAUUUUGCAUAUAAGGAAACUGAAGUUCAGAGCAGGAGAGUGACUUGCUCAAGCUCACACAGCUCAGAGUGGUUAAGCUAGGAUGGAAGCGUAGGUCUUCUAAGUGCUCUGGGAUGUGUGUUCAACACAGCCCCCUCACCCCCUCUAAUACUGGCCUUGUCUGCCACCACCCCAUACUACAAAUGGAAAUGACACAGAGGGUGACAUCAACAGGUCCCUUUUUCUCGAUAGCCACUAGAUCAUGGUGCUGUGGGCUGAGCAGAUGAUUGAUAGGACAUCACUGGGCCUGGCUCUCCAGGAGACCUAGAAAAAGAUCUUGCCCCUCUCUGGGCCUCAGUUUCCCUAUCUGUACCACAAGGGCAUUGACCUCCACGUGGUCUUCGAGACCUCUUCCAGUUCUGCUUUGUUUGCACCAGGGUUAGUAACCGUGGGAAUGGGAGAGAUGGAGAUACUUGAGGCUGAUGGGGAGUUGCACAGCCCAAGACCCCAGGCUGCAAGACAGUAUGGGGAUGAGGGCGAUCCUCCCAUAUUGGAGAUCAGGGAUGGGGUGGCCCAGCUAGGUAGAAGUGAAGCUCCCCCACCCCCACUGGAUUGUGAACCUCCUGAAAUUAGGGCUGUGACUUGUACCUUAUAAGUAUCACAUAGAUGAGAAAAAAUUUCAUCGAUGUAAUGGAUGGAACACUAGAUAGGAGAUCAGUAAGGAAAUAGAAGACUUUAAAAACACUGUAAACCAGCUAGACCUAACAGACACUGCUUUCUAACGGCGAUUGAAGAGCACAUUCCACCCAGCAACAGCAGAAUACACAUUCUUCUCAAGUGCACACGGACCAUUCUCUAGCAUAGAUCAUAUCUUAGGCCACAAAUCAAAUCUCAAUAAAUUUAGAAAAAUUGAAAUUACACAAAAUAUGUUCUCUGACAACAGAGUAAUGAAAUUAGAAGGUCAAAAACAGAAGGAAAUUUGAAAAUUCACAAAUAUGUAAAAAUUAAACGACACACUCCUAACCAAAGGGUCAAAAAAUAAAUCAUAAGGGAAAUUAGAAAAUACUUUGAGACGAAUGAAAACAAAAACACAACAUACUAAA
rnacentral:lncRNA from 1 species